rnacentral:rRNA from 1 species
CCCGCUGAACUUAAGCAUAUCAAUAAGCGGAGGAAAAGAAACUAACAAGGAUUCCCCUAGUAACUGCGAGUGAAGCGGGAAAAGCUCAAAUUUAAAAUCUGGCAGUCCUCUGGCUGUCCGAGUUGUAAUCUGGAGAAGCGUUUUCCGCGUCGGACCGUGUACAAGUCUCCUGGAAUGGAGCAUCACAGAGGGUGAGAAUCCCGUCUUUGACAUGGACUGCCUGUGCGAUAUGGUGCGCUCUCGAAGAGUCGAGUUGUUUGGGAAUGCAGCUCAAAAUGGGUGGUAAAUGCCAUCUAAAGCUAAAUAUUGGCGAGAGACCGAUAGCGAACAAGUACCGUGAGGGAAAGAUGAAAAGAACUUUGGAAAGAGAGUUAAACAGUACGUGAAAUUGCUGAAAGGGAAACGCUUGAAGUCAGUCGCGUCGGCUGGAAAUCAACCUUGCUUCUGCUUGGUGUACUUUCUGGUUGACGGGUCAGCAUCAAUUUUGACCAUUGGAUAAAGUCAUUGGGAAUGUGGCAUCUCAGGAUGUGUUAUAGCCCGUUGUCGCAUACUGUGGUUGGGAUUGAGGAACUCAGCACGCCGCAAGGCCGGGUUUCGACCACGUUCGUGCUUAGGAUGCUGGCAUAAUGGCUUUAAUCGACCCGUCUUGAAACACGG